GCUCCCCACGCUCAAGUAUUAUGUGAUUGCUAGAAUCGUCUCAAGAUGGCGCUCCCCACGCUCCCCAACCAUGCGACUCCACGCCUCCCGCUCGCCAUUGCCCCCACCGCAGAUCUCGCCGCGCCAUCCUCGCGGCAUGCCUCCACGGCGGCGAAGACCGGAUCCGGCGGCCGAGGCCGCUCCCCCUCCCCCUCCCCAUUCCCCCACUCGAUUCCCUCCCCAAGUCCAAGAAGCCUUCGCGGAGUUGGUGAGACUGAUUUCACGGCUCCCGCAUGCGAUUCUCAUGGCGACGGGGGAUUGGAGGUGGGUGGAAUGGGCGACAAGGAUUCGCGACGCUGCGGCUUGGAUUCGGCGGGUUCAGGAAUGGAAGGCGGCGGAUCAGGCGGUGGCGGCGGCGAGAGAUCCAGAUACGCGAGCCGCGGCGAGCAGAUAUGCAGAGACUUGUCGUUUGAGAGCAGAGGGAGAACAGAGGAUCCUGGCGAAGCGGAUCUACGACGAGGCUACAGUGGCGGAGAGGAUGAGGAUGCCUGCCUACCCGCACUCCCCGUCGGCCGAGUUCGUGAAGUGGGCGAGGACGGAGGCGAAAUCAGAGGAUCCUCGCAGGGUGCUGAGAUGGGAGGGCAUGCUGGGAGUGAUUCCAUCAGGUGCGCCGCUGCAAAACAUCUCGUCCUGGCCGCCGCCGUCAAUUCGAGAUUGAGCUCGGCUGGUGUUCAAGUAUCCACGCCCCCUGGCUCACCUGUGGCGUGCAGAAGAGGCAGUGAUGCCAAGAGUAGGCGUGCUUCGCCGCCGCCGAUGCUGUUAUGUUCGCCGGUGAAGAGAGUUGUGGGUCGAAGAGCCACUGCCAGGAGGGCCCUCCAGGUCAGUGUGCAGCUGUCGGCGGACCCCGCUUGUCUCGUCCCAAAACCAGCGGGUGGAGUGGUUGCGCCUCUUCAAAAGGCGCCUCCCCUUCCGGAUCCGCACCAGGAGGGCCCGGGUCGGGGGGAAGCUAGGGUUCGUCCUACCCCUAGCAGUUUCUUCAUAUCCAAUCUGGUGUGGGUUCGAAAGGAUAAAUUCACUUCUGGAGAGUUCACUGAAGCGGAUUGCCACCCAGUCGGUAAAUCAGAUCGUCUGUCAGCUCCAAAAUCUUUCUCCUUCUCUCGAGAUUACUGGGCAAGGAAAUCCGGCAAGAUUCCUUUUGCUUCCAUUGUCAAGAUGGCGGGAGGAGGAAGAGAUGCUAGCAACCGUGGAGGAAGAUAUGGCUCGGGGAGGGGCCGCAAUGGUCGUCCUCCUGCUCCCACUCCGUCGGGGCAGGAUGGGACCGCUCCACCGCAGUUGGUUCCUCAGGCGCCUCAAGCUGCUCCGCCGCAUAUGUCGAUCUACACCAAGCCCUCUCUGUUUCCAGUUGGUUCUGCUCAAGCUAUCAUGCAGGCAGGGGGCAGAUGUAUGGCUAUCAGGGGGGCUGGAAUCCUCAGAUGCAGCAGAUGCCACAGUGGGCGAAUCAGCAGUAGUUCCCCUUCCAGCAUUUGCCUCCUACUCAGGUUUUUCCUCAACAAUUCAGUCCUUAGAUGCAGCAGGUUCAGUUUGGAGGCAGUGGAUCAUCUACUGGAGGAAGUGUGCAGAACAACCAGCCGGAAUCUAGCAAAAAUAAGAAAAAAGAAGAAUCAAAAGGUCAAGCAGGCAACUCCUACUACUGCUAGUGAUGAAUCCUCCUCCUUUAAUGUUGAUCCUAAGUUCAUUGGGGUGAUUUGCUACAACUGUGGUCUCCCAGGUCACUUUGUGGGCAUGUGCCCCACCCCAAAAGUGUGUUUCAGCCGCAAGACCCCUGGCCACCACAUGGAUACAUGUCCCACUUGGUACAAACCCUACCCUGCUGCUAUGUAUUGGGGGAGUGCCAAUAAUGGUCUAGGAUUUUUUUCAUAUUGAAACUGCAAGGAAGACUGCGAGUGGCUAAACUUUGGGAAUGUUGGCCUAGUCCUAAUUGAAAAAGGAGAGAUCACUGAGAAAGAGUUGGGGCUUUGUUUCUCUGAUAUGUGGAAAACUAACUGGCCCUGGUAGAUCAGAAGAUAUGAUGAGAAAAAGUUCAUUGUCAGGUUUCCCCCUAACAAGAAGAUCAAAGAUCUGGUAGAAUACCCAUCCAUUAACCUGAAGAAAGAAGGAGAGACUAUAUCUUUUAGUGACUGGAAUGGAGAAAUGCCAGCCUAUGUUACUCUGGAGGAAACUUGGAUUGUGAUUGAAGGACUGCCUCCCAAGUGGAUAUCCUGGAACAUUAUCUCUCAAAUAUCUACUAUGCUUGGGGUCCUUGUUAAUGUUGAUUGGCACACUAUCUUCAGGAGCUUCUAUGAGAAGGUGAGGAUCCAGGUAGCUGUGAGAGACUCUACUAAGAUUCCCAGGGAUAGGAUGGUGGAGAUACACCAUGAGCUGUAUUUGCUGAAGUUUACUGUGGAGUCUGAGGCUGUUAGUGGUCAUGAGUCAGAUAAUCCUCCAGGCCCUGAUGACAACAAUCCCUCUCAGAAACAAGCAUACUGAGGACGAAUUUGAUUCCAGUGGUGAUGACUUACUAGGAGAAGAUAUGGAUACUGGAAAUAACGACACUAAUACCAAAGACAAGCAUCAAACUAUUGGAUCCAAUGGAGCCAGGACUAUGCAAAAGUGCUCUACACCUGCUCCCAGAGCCAAUGAAGAGAAUCUUGUCUCCUCCAAGCUCCUGGGUGCACCUAUGACCAAAAGCUACUUAGAGGCAGUGAAGAAGAGACACUAUGAUACAAUGGUCACCCCUCUCCUUGAGCAAUUUGAAGCUGCUGCUGACAAGCCUAUUUCUCAGAAGUGCACUAGUACUCAGCAGAAGUGGGGCCCUAUGGUGGCCUCUAGGGUUAGCACCAGAAACAAUAGAGAUAACAGACCAGCUCUUCAAAAAGCUCAGGAGUUAAAGCAAAUUAAAAACCUGAAAAAAACUACAAUAAGAAAAGGGGACUUGGAAGAAAUCUAGAGGAAAGAAGAAAUCAAGGCCAGACAGAGAUCCAGAGAGAGAGACAUACUAGAAGGAGCUUAAAUGCUGGCUACUUUAAAGCUGUAGCUAAUCAAAAGAGGAGAAAGAAGCAGAUCAUGGCGCUCGAAGGUAAUGAAGGAUGAUGGAUAUCUGGGGUUUCAUUUGGUAAUACAAGUGGAGCCAGGGCUGAGAGCCCUUUUCCUCUAAAAAAGCGUUCCUUCAGGUAUCAUUAACCUGUUGUCCCUAUCAGAGGUGGCCAUUCGUUACAACGUACGGUACACCAACAGCCCCAGCGUGAAGAUGACAGAAGCGGCGGUGCGGAAACAAGUUGCCGGGCACUGCGACUUCUUCAUCGACGGCAUGCAAGACCAGCCAGAGGAGGCUGUCCAGGAGGCUAGAGACGGUGUAGCCAUCAUCGAUGACAUUCAAGAUCAAGCCGAGGAUGCUCCGGAGGCUGAAGAGGGAGUGACCGCAAGUACAAGCGAGAUUGAAAUUGUUGACGCCGCCCAACUGUAUGACCAUGACCAGAGCACUGCCUCGGCGCAUUCUCACUGGUAUCCGUAGGUGAAGAUCGACGGCGGGCCACAACUUGGAAAUGGGUGUUUGUUCUACAAUGGUGCUAUCACUCCUGCCGCUCCCGCAACCUAUCCGUCCGUGAAGAUGGUGUCACUGUCAGGUCGUUCAUGACUGUCCAGUGCAUUCGAUUGGUCAUGCCAUGCCUGUCUUAUGGUACUUCCAAAAAACUAUGUAUCACGUAAUGUGUUCAUUUGGUCGUGCUGGUAUGUUACUUUCAUGCCAUGCUUGUAUGUUGCUUUCAAAAUUGUCCAUUUGUUUGUUGUAAUCCUUAUUUGUAAGGCUGUCAGGAACUACUUUAUCAUUCAUUCGGUCCUGCUGCAUCAGUUAAUUUGGUGUGCUGUUGUUUGUAAGACUGUUGUUGUCAGGCACUGUAUUCAUGUUCUGACAGUAUUUUGCGUGUAAGACUCUC